rnacentral:rRNA from 1 species
AGCGAACGCUGGCGGUAGGCCUAACACAUGCAAGUCGAACGGACCCUUCGGGGUUAGUGGCGGACGGGUGAGUAACACGUGGGAACGUGCCUUUAGGUUCGGAAUAGCUCCUGGAAACGGGUGGUAAUGUCGAAUGUGCCCUUCGGGGGAAGGAUUUAUCGCCUUUAGAGCGGCCCGCGUCUGAUUAGCUAGUUGGUGAGGUAAUGGCUCACCAAGGCGACGAUCAGUAGCUGGUCUGAGAGGAUGACCAGCCACAUUGGGACUGAGACACGGCCCAAACUCCUACGGGAGGCAGCAGUGGGAAAUCUUGCGCAAUGGGCGAAAGCCUGACGCAGCCAUGCCGCGUGAAUGAUGAAGGUCUUAGGAUUGUAAAAUUCUUUCACCGGGGACGAUAAUGACGGUACCCGGAGAAGAAGCCCCGGCCAACUUCGUGCCAGCCGCCGCUGUAAUAC